CUUCCUCCACCCUCCUCCCCUUAAGCAAACUCUGUUGCAGUUACUGGUGAUAAAGUCAGAAGGUACAAAGAUGAAAGAGACCCAGAUCCUGCCCUCUGAGGGCUUGUGGUCUACGAGGGAAGACAGCUAUGAAUACAAAGAAACCCAUCGUGGAGGCGCCAUCUGAUUGCUUCUUAGUGAAGGCAGAAUGCAAAUAGGCAGGCAGAGGAGGCUUCAUGGAAGAGGUGUCAAAGCAUCUUGAAGACAAGGGUGAGUCAUCACACUUGUCGGAGGGGCAGGGGAAGCGUGGGCAUGGAUUUACACCUGGCUUAGGUUCUGGAGGAGGGGAUGCUGGGGAUGAGCAGGAGGGUGGACACCAUCACCCCCCUGCCUGCCCUCCCCAUGCUCCACAGUGGGCAAGCAGUUGGGUUUUGGCUGUGAUUCACAUGGGGCCACCGGACGGUUUUAAGCUCAUGAUUGUCUUGAUCCGAUUUGCAUUUGAGAAAGAGCUCCCUGGGACCGGGCUUGGGAGCUGAGGGACUGGGGGAAGGCUUGGUCCUCCUCAGGCGUUAUCCUCUCCUGCACCUCACUGGAGGUGGCCUCCAGAGCAGAGGGGUCACCGGCUCAACACCCAGGCUACCGGGCACACUCUGCUUCUCCUCGCCGAUCCGCCUUUCCAUAGCAUCUGCUCGGCAGAACACCAAGUGUGCGCACGAGAUAACAGCAUUAAGAGCAGAAGGACAAAGCUGAUACUCGGGGCAGCGAGACAUGCAGGCUUAAAUUCUUUUCCCUUCAAAAUGUCGCACAUGGUUUUGACCACGUGGUUCUGAUGAAAGCAAGCCAGGCUUGCUAGGAUGAAAUGCUGAGUGGUGCUUGCGACCUCGGGCACAGCGAGUGCAGAGGUCUGUGGCUCUAAUGAGCUGCCCUGACAUUUCUCUGCACCACUCGCUGCCAGAUAAAGAGGGGAAAUCUCCUUAGCGAUGUCCCCAGGUCCCCGAGGUUGGCUGUGCCCCCUGGAGACACUGGGUUUCUGAGAGGUUUCCAAGGCGAGCAUCAUACUUCCGGUUGGGAAUGGGUGUUCUCCCCAUCUCCAGAGGGGGCAUGUAAAAUACAGUGGGUGCUCAAUAAAUGCUUGCUGCUGACAUGAAGAGUGAAUAACAAGAUCAGUCUUAUGGGCGGAGUGCACCCCAACAGGCUCCCUUGUGCCUCAUUAAGUCGCUACUACUUUUUGCCAACUACCCUCCUGAUUUUUACCACCAAAGAUAGAUUUUGCUCUUUUGUGAACUUUAUAUANNNNNNNNNNNNNNNNNNNNNNNNNNNNNNNCCUCAUCCCUGGGAGAUUCAGCCACAUUAUUGCAUGCAUCAGUGACUGUUUUCUGUAAAAUUGUAGAAUAGUAUUUCAUUGAUUGAUUAUACCAUGCUUGAUUCACCCAUUCUCCAACUGAUGUGCAUUUGGGCUGUCUUCGGUUUGGGGCUAUGCACUCUCGUGUGCCUGCUGUUUAAUGCACAUAUGCACCCAUUUAUCUUGGGAAUCCACCACCGGGUAUAUUUGGGUGUGGAAGGGAUACACAUUCAGUUUCAGUAGAUGCGACCCCUAAACUUUUCUGAAGCAGUUUNNNNNNNNNNNNNNNNNNNNNNNNNNNNNNNNNNNNNNNNNNNNNNNNNNNNNNNNNNNNNNNNNNNNNNNNNNNNNNNNNNNNNNNNNNNNNNNNNNNUAAACUUUUCUGAAGCAGUUUUACAAAUGAUCACUCCUACCAUCAAGGUAUAUAAAUCCCACUUGCAUGCUAAGGCCUCUGAAAGUAUAAGUUGUGAUUUGUCGUAAUGCCCCGGAGGGCAGAUGUGGUUAUUAUCAUGCUGGCUGAUAGACAGAGGGGCGCAUGGAGCCAGUGAUGGUGAGGGCUUAAAGCAAGGACUCCACUUCUGCAACAACAGCAGCUCUUAAACCAGCAUCUUGUUCUGUGAACUCAGGGCGCGGCUGACUCUGGGCAACUGUGCUCUGCUGUGGAGGUGCCGGGGUCCAGGAGUGCCUGUGAGACCGAGCGCAGGGCUACAGAGUGGUUACACGCGCAGGCUCAGGAGCUGGGCUGCGGGCACUGACUUCCAGCUCUGCUUCUUACUGAAGGACUGAGCAAGAGACUGGACCUUUCUGCCCCACACUUUCCACGUCUGGAGUGGAUAAACUGGGUUGUUGUGAGGAUUAAGUGAAUUAAUGUAGAUAUAAUGUUAGGGGGUGGGCACUUCAGAAGGGUUAACUCAUAUUGUUAUUAUUAUUGUUGUUAUGUUCAGCUCUGUGCACUUUGCUGGACUCAGCUGUUGGGGAAGAAGGCCGUAGUCACUCUGAUCAAGCUGUCAGGCAGGCUGCAUAGUUGUCACCCCCUUUCCCAACCCUCUGAAGGCAGCUGGCUUUCCAGAUGAAAUCUGGAAUCUAAUUUCUAGCCCCAGUCGUUGGUGUCAUGAAGCUUGCCAGGGUGCAGUCUGGCUGGUCCCUUCCGAAAUGAGUCCCUGCUCUUUAGUGCCCCUGGUAAGAAAUGCAGCCUAUUUGCUCAAGGUUUUCCCCUUUAUAGAAACGGUCAGACGCCUUUCCUUCCACCACCUCCCUCCUGCAAAUCCAGGCCAAAUAUUGAUGUUUGAUAACUACAAAUAUCACACAUAGCUUUUAAUCAAGAGAGACGGAGGGAAGAUAAGGCAAGUAAAUAUGUCUCUGUAAGGCAGUUCAAUAUUCUCAGUAAUGAUUUUGCUAAGAAAUAAAAUGACCAGAGGCAGGGGAGAGGCUCUGUGAUGAGCACCGAAACGGGCCGGACCACCCUGAGCAGGCUGAACCGCGCCUGGGCUCUUGCUUCCAGCCUGAUGCAUGGAUCUAAGUAGCUG
ensembl:lncRNA